CAGAAACUACUUAAACAGUCACCAAGGACUGCUUUCUUGAUUAUUUUAACUCAUGUUUCAAUUUCAAAUAAGACAUAUCAACUUUUUAGAUGAAUGGAUGAAUUCUAGGAUGAUACUAGUAUUAGAUUAUGGGUUACCAAUGAAGUUUUAACCUGCUGAAGAGAGGAAACAUGUCACAAUGAUUACGCAGCCAUCAGCUACUACGAGGGAUGUAGGUAUCCAGCACACACCAUGCGGUCAGUGAUCAUGCCGGGGUAGGAACCAUCACAGUCCUUGUUAGACAGAAUGGGGACUUCCACACACUGAAGCAGUGGGCAGCAGAGACCAUCCACUGUUCGUUGAUGAGGGAUCCGCCGCAGAAGUGGUAGCCGACAUUGAGAGACACCUGCCAGGGUUGAGAGUGGGCUGGACACUGGUAGCCACCCACAAUCCUGUCAUCUGUAGGUGCUGCAGCUGUGGUGUAAAGAAAAUACAAAUGAUUUAUAUUUAUCAUAGUUACAAUUCUUUUUUACCCUUAAACUGUUGGACACACUGAACAUGCUUCACCUGCAGCGCCCAGAAGUGUGACAACAAUCAGGCCAAUCAUCGUGUCUAACUCAAACCUUCCUACGACCAGACUGGAUGUGAAUGAUCACUGCAUUUAUACAUAAACUCCUCCGUGUCUUUCCAAGCACUCCUUCUUCCUCCAUUCCUCCACCCAAUUCCCCCCACCCACAUCCCCAAAUCUCCCGCCCCAAUCCCUGCCUUAUACAAUAAUAACCUUAUCUUCUUAUGUGCCACGUUCAUCAUUUCAUUUAAUAAGUGAGCCACAUUUUACAUAGUAUUGGCCUUGGAGUGUUUUCUGUACUCUGUUUUUUGACAGAUAAUUUUCUGCACCUAUCACCUAAAUAAAUGUGCUUAUUCGUU